GACAGAGGGUGCAAACGUUGUUCGGAAUUACUGGGCGUAAAGCGCGUGUAGGCGGCUUUGCAAGUCGGAUGUGAAAGCCCACGGCUCAACCGUGGAAGUGCAUCCGAAACUGCAUGGCUUGAGUCUCGGAGAGGAAGGUGGAAUGCUUGGUGUAGAGGUGAAAUUCGUAGAUAUCAAGCAGAACACCUGCGGCGAAGGCGGCCUUCUGGACGAUGACUGACGUGAGACGCGAAAGCGUGGGGAGCAAACAGG
rnacentral:rRNA from 1 species